rnacentral:rRNA from 1 species
UACAGAGGUCUCAAGCGUUGUUCGGAUUCAUUGGGCGUAAAGGGUGUGUAGGUGGCGCGCUAAGUCGGGUGUGAAAUUUCGGAGCUUAACUCCGAAACUGCAUUCGAUACUGGCGUGCUUGAGGACUGGAGAGGAGACUGGAAUUCAUGGUGUAGCAGUGAAAUGCGUAGAGAUCAUAAGGAAGACCAGUGGCGAAGGCGGGUCUCUGGACAGUUCCUGACACUGAGACACGAAGGCCAGGGGAGCAAACGGG